UAAUACGGAGGGGGCUAGCGUUGCUCGGAAUUACUGGGCGUAAAGCGCGCGUAGGCGGCGAAUCAAGUUAGGCGUGAAAGCCCUAGGCUCAACCUAGGAAUUGCGUUUGAUACUGAUUUGCUAGAGUCCGAGAGAGGGUGGCGGAAUUUCCAGUGUAGAGGUGAAAUUCGUAGAUAUUGGAAAGAACACCAGUGGCGAAGGCGGCCACCUGGCUCGGUACUGACGCUGAGGUGCGAAAGCGUGGGGAGCGAACAGGAUUAGAUACCCUGGUAGUCCACGCCGUAAACGAUGAGUGCUAGGUGUCGGGCAGCAUGCUGUUCGGUGCCGUAGUUAACGCGUUAAGCACUCCGCCUGGGGAGUACGGCCGCAAGGUUA
rnacentral:rRNA from 1 species